GUGAAUCUCGUCUCGGUGAAAAAAAACGUUUUGAAAUUUUCCGUACGUGGAUCGGGAGCAGAACCUGGAGGCGAUGGCGCCACCACUACGUGACAGCGCGGCUGAUACCUGUGCAUCGAAUUUAGUAUGAUCUGAAAUCAGAUUGAAAUCAAACGAUUUUCUUUAUGUUCAACUCUUGGAUCGCCACCAAUUUAUUCUCAUUUUUCAAUCAAUCGUUUGUCAAUCAUCAUCGAACCGCGUAACAUUGUGAAAAAUUUUCAGUUACAGAACGCCCUUAAACUGCGCGGAUCCCUGUAACUGGGCCUCGGGCUAUGUCUCCGUUGAAUCAACGAAUAUGGAGACUGGAAAAAAUGAGUUUAUCAAUACUGGACAAUUAAUUUUAUAAAAAAUGAAAGAAAAAUGAUUCGAUCGUAAUUGCUUAGUCAGUUGAAUUUUUGGGUCGUUUUAUUUUUCAGUAUUACCACCGAUUGUUAACGAAGAUCUACCGGAAACUGGCUGUAUUGAUAAGAACAUGGGUCACGAGAAAAAGGAAGUUAGAACAGCAAAUUAGUCAAGAAGGAGGAAAGGGAGAAGGAAGGAAAAGUGUGUGCGGAAGGGCGAAAGGCGAUAGAUCCGUCGUUGUGCAGUCGUAAUGUCUUUACGGUGAAAAAAUGUUGGAAAAAACGGAGGGGAUGGAGGAAGAUACGAGAGCACACGUGAUACCGAAUUCGAGAGUAAACGAAGGAAGAGAACACAACGGGGGGUAUGAAGCGGUUGGCCAUGUUUGACAGUCGGAAGAGCCCCGAUGACUAAUUAGUGUAAAAACUCAAAAACUCCCGACCCGACCCAACCGCAAUCCGACACCCAUGGAUAUGCAGCCGCAUCUUCGUUUUCCAGCAUCCGUAUCACUUCUGCUUUCUUCCACAUGUAAAUCUCCAAGAAACACGCUCUGUUGUCCCGAGAUCCGAGUUGCCGUGAAUAUAUUUAAGUGACGGAUUGAAUUAUAUUGCUGAGUUCAUAUUCGGCUCAUUAACGAGUUGUGAAAAAAUAGACUUAUGAGAAUAAUGGAGCAGAUUGCAAAAUCUCGAAGGCACCUCCAUCUGAAAAAAUUCGUUCAGCCACUGUUCAACGAGUUUCUUCCAAUCGUGCAACUUCCAAUGAGAGUGUAAGAAAAACGGAGUGAAAGUAAAAGAGCGAAAAAGCCUGGAGAGAGCCUCGAUAUAAUUCGGUCACAACAAAGGCGACCUGGCACAGUCAAAAAAUCGGAGCGUCUCGGUGACCCAGAAGGGCGCUACAAAGUGUCAAUUAAAAAGGAGCGAGGAGGCCAUAUAAUUUUUGUGUACUAAUGUUACGAGCGAGGAAUGUCUCCGCGUGUAACUCAACACAGCGAAGAAAGGCGCGGGGUUGGUGCGCGACACACGCACUAUUUGCUUCUUCCUUGCGCUGUCUCUCCGCGGAGUGCGUGUGCCUCCCUGUUUUUUGUCACGGCGUUUCACGGGUCGAAUGACUUGGCCUUGCGUAUGCCACAUUUUUUAAAAGAACCGGCUAGAAAGACCGAAUUAAAAAAAGCGUGGAGGGUCUUCGAACGUCUAAAAGGAGGAAGAUCGAUAGGAGAAAAACGAAGAAAAAAAUGGAAAGUGGCCCGCCGACGGAGCUCGGGGUAUAAUCUACGAGCGCCGAUUUGUAACUCGAACGGAGCAUUUGGAAUUCUGGAAUUCCAGAUGUUCGAUAAAAUUCGAGAAACUUUUAUCGAGCUAAGAGAUCUUUGGGAAAGUCCUAUCGACGAAAAGUCGAUUUUUGUAGCAGUGAAAACCCCAUUUUUUAACAGACCACAAAUUUUGAAAUUAUUCGCAAUGCUCUCGAUAAGCAAAAUGUUAAAAAAACUGAAGAAACGAGUCGUUAUUUUCGAAUCAGGUUCCGGUCGAACUUCGUUAAAAUUCGCUGAAAAUAAUUCGCUCGAUUUCCAGCUGCUCUCUUUUUGGAUCAAUUCCAUAACGAUUGAAUAAGAAAAAUAGUGCCUUGAGCCAUAAAUUGGCACUAGUUCAAAAGUGUUUACACUCCAGAGUUACAAUUUUUUUUCUCAUGGCGAAAGAACUUCAUAUCUCUUGGGGUGUUUUGGUAUCGUAACGUCACGACCACUCUUUGAAAUCGGCCACAAAUUCCUCUACGUAAACUCCUUUUUCUCCUCUCGGUCUUUACGACGUUUACAUUUGCGUUCUUUAUGGUACACAUAUAAUGAGGAUGGAAGGAGAAGGGCUCGCCACGACUCAAGGGCUUCCGCCUCUUGUGGAACAGAACCAUGCGAGAUUUACCAAAUAAAAUUUAACGUUGUAUAUACCUCGGGAACAUCCAGAAAGCACGAGUCCAUAUUUUCAGCUUUUUUCAACCAUUUUCUCUUCUUGGACUCUGUAUAUAUUUACAGUUAUGUGGUACCGAUAAGUGAUAGUCUCGGAAUAAACCUUUCGAUUGUAUACGAGCACAAGUAAAUUCCAAACGUCACAUCAUCGCCUCACUACAGGAGAACAUAAAUAGUUCAAAUAACAAUGUUUCAUCUCAUCGUAAUUUAGACAUCCUUAAGGCACAAUCAAAGUAUCUUUUGAGGGGCCCACAGAUACUGGAUUGACCUGUUUCACAGAGUGUGAAAUUUUGAGAAAUUUUUUUUUUCCAUAUUUCGAUAGUCUAACUUUAAAAAUAACAUACUAAAAUUUUAAAUGAAUGUUUCAAAUAGUUUUUGAGCCUUCUAAAGAGUAGCCGCUCAGCGGUUAACCCCUUUUUUUUCGCAAAACUACAUUUUUCAAAUUUGCUGCAGUCGUAACUCGAAGACAAAUCAUUCGAUUGUUUUGGUUUUUUUAACUUUUUUUUGUAUAUUUUUCUCCGUACAAUGGCCCUCCGAUUUUUUCAUCGUUUGAAAAGUGUCAAUUUGGCGGGCCAAAAAUCAUUCAUUUUUCGAGCGAAAUUCGACAUUUUUUUUCAAAACUCUGCCAUUUUGGUAAAUUUCAAUCUGAAAAAAUAGCUUCGUUGACAAAACGAUUGCAAUUUUUUUUUGCCUAUUUUUAAAAACCCUCGUGGAUCUGUUUCGAAGUUUUCACGAAUUGGAGAAAAUUUGUCUACUACGAAUAAAACGGGACACGCGUUGAAUAAAAAUUUUGAUAAGUCGAAAAAUGAGGGUGAGAUCUUAAGGAGCGCUCCCGAUACGAAUCUCGUAUAUCACUAGAGCUGCGUUUCGGAAACUUGACUUAUUCGUUGAAUAAACGGGACUGACGAGCCGUGACUCCAAACGUCAUAAUAUUUUAACACGGAUUAUGUGGCGCUGGAAUAUAUAUGAGGCAUUUCACGCGUACUCAACCGCAACCCCAACCAUUUUAUAUGUCACUGAAAAAUCUUCGUAAAAUAUUGUCGAAUAAAAACAUGUUUAUAUCAUUUUCCACAUUCUUAUACCGCCGCGUCCUUCAGAAAUGAUUUCUUCCUUCGAAUUAUCGGUUUGAACACUUCCGAAUAAUCCUAGGCCAAUAAAAUGUCGAUCGAUCAAGUUUU